UACGUAUGGGGCGAGCGUUGUCCGGAGUUACUGGGCGUAAAGGGCACGCAGGCGGUCGCGCAAGUGAGGGGUUACAGCUCCCGGCUCAACUGGGAGAGCGCCUCUCGGACUGCGGAGACUUGAGAGCCAGAGAGGGACACAGAAUUCCGGGUGGAGUGGUGAAAUGCGUAGAUAUCCGGAGGAAUACCAAAGGCGAAGGCAGUGUCCUGGCUGGUAUCUGACGCUGAGGUGCGAAAGCUAGGGGAGCGAACGGG
rnacentral:rRNA from 1 species